ACAGUGUCGCGAUAGUAAUUCAACCUAGUACGAGAGGAACCGUUGAUUCACACAAUUGGUCAUCGUGCUUGGUUGAAAAGCCAGUGGCGCGAAGCUACCGUGUGCCGGAUUAUGACUGAACGCCUCUAAGUUAGAAUCCAAGCUAGCAUGCGACGCCUGCGCCCGCCGCCCGCCCCGACCCACGUUAGGGGCGCUUGCGCCCCCAAGGGCCCGUGCCAUUGGCUAAGCCGGUCCGGCCGAAGUGUCGCGGCCGGCCGCCUCGAAGCUCCCUUCCCAACGGGCGGUGGGCUGAAUCCUUUGCAGACGACUUAAAUACGCGACGGGGCAUUGUAAGUGGCAGAGUGGCCUUGCUGCCACGAUCCACUGAGAUCCAGCCCCAUGUCGCACGGAUUC
rnacentral:rRNA from 1 species